AUAAAUAUCUUAACCACUCAUAUCUUUCUCUUUCUAAUUCAAAAUUUUCAGAUUCAAUUUUUCUUCCACUUCUCUUUCUAGUUUCUCCUCUUUUCUCUCUCAAUUUUUUUGAAUGAAUGUUAGAUCUGAGUUAAUUUUUUGCUCUUCAAGAUGGAUCUUAGCACUAUCAAGAUGAAUCUUUGCACAAGAAAACACCAGAAGAGUGUGAACAAACCUCGAAAAUGUGGGGCAUCUCCAUUUUUUGCUCUUACAUGUUCUUCGAGUUCUUAUGGUUUUGUUUUACCUGCGUUUUUCUCUAUCAAUUUCUUUGAAUGCAUGAUCGAUUUAGGUUCGUUUGACGAAUCUUUUCACGAAGAAACACAAAUUUUAAAAAGGUAGGUGAGCUCUCUUUUAACCUUUUGUUCUUGUGGAUUUGAAUGUUCUGGCUUUUUUAUGUUCUUUGUUAAUUGUUUAUGGGUUUUUUGUGUCUGAUACAAGAGUUUUCUUCACGUCCCGGUGGGACUAACAUAGGUCGUGGCGAUACGUUUGUUUCACUACCUCGAACGAAUGUUUUGUUCACGUCACCUAGAAGAAUGCAUUAAGAGAUAAUUCAUUUGUUUUCACUUGCCGAUACAGACGUUGUGUUCACGACCCAUUGGAACGAACAUAGGCGUUGGUGGUACGUUUGUUCUCACUAUCUCAUACGAACGUAUAGAUAUUUG
rnacentral:lncRNA from 1 species